rnacentral:rRNA from 1 species
UGCGUAGGCGGCGCACUAAGUCAGGGGUGAAAUCCUCCCGCUCAACGGGAGAACUGCCCUUGAUACUGGUAUGCUCGGAUGGGUACGAGGUAAGCGGAACGCGGCAUGUAGCGGUGAAAUGCUUAGAUAUGCCGCAGAACACCGAUUGCGUAGGCAGCUUACCAGAACUCUAUCGACGCUGAGGCACGAAAGCGUGGGGAGCGAACAGGAUUAGAUACCCUGGUAGUCC